rnacentral:lncRNA from 1 species
GACGCGAUGCGACACGACGCCCGCCUGGGAAGCUGAUGGUUCGCGUUGACCCCUGUUCGCAUUGUCCCCAGGAAGGAGGAGUUAUUUCCAGGCGAAUCACAAACGCGGGAAGUAGCGUCAGCGGGGCGCUUUUAAUUAAAUGAAACGGAGGUGGUAUGCGUCCGAAGAAAGAAGUGCUCCGGCGCUAGGUAAUCCGGAGAACUUGAGAAGUGCUAAAGUCCAUAUACGUGAAAGGUGAGGGAACUUGGAGCCCCCCAGUCAUUGUCCCCAGGAAGGAGGAGUUAUUUCCAGGCGAAUCACAAACGCGGGAAGUAGCGUCAGCGGGGCGCUUUUAAUUAAAUGAAACGGAGGUGGUAUGCGUCCGAAGAAAGAAGUGCUCCGGCGCUAGGUAAUCCGGAGAACUUGAGAAGUGCUAAAGUCCAUAUACGUGAAAGGUGAGGGAACUUGGAGCCCCCCAGUCAAGCCCUGUUUCCCUGAGUAAGAAAGCGUGGGAAGGGGGAGGACAUAAGGAAAGGUCACCGAGGCAGAUCUAAAAUUACUGUUCCAGGGCGAUAAAAACUUGCUUUUGUAACAGAGGAAGCUUAGGAAACCAAAAAGGAUUACACCGUUUGAGUGAAUGCAGGUGUUAGACAAAUAAACUUAAGCUGUGAAAAAUGAGGAAAGGCAAGGUUGUGAAGAGCUGAUGCGUACCUCCAGCCUCUUUUCCGUUGGGGAACUGUGUCGCCGAAAGACUUGCUCGUGUCCUUUCUGCAAGCCUGCUUGUGGGCACAGCCGCUCUCAGAUCCGUAUGUUGCUCUCCAAGAGCGCUGCAACUCUCUCAAACCUCCCCGCGCUCGUAUCCGCAGAGCUUCAUCAGGCUCCCCCUCGGCAUCGCCUCCUUCCACAUACAGAAAGGCAGCCCCGUGCCGGGCGGCGCUCUCGGCACGCGUGCCCUUGUGCCUUCAGCUUUGCUGCAGUGAGAACAGUUCCUGCAUAGCCGCUGCUACCCGUGUAAACCCUGCAGAGACUUCUGCUGUCUCUCACAAAAACCUGCUUCUGAUGGAGUCAUCUCUUGAGUCACUGAGGGUUUGGCUGGUGAGAACCGUCCUCAAGUAUGAAACCGGUCUUGAGUCCGCAGUGCAGGUGUUACCAACGCCACUUUCCCUCUUCUUCUGUCCUCCAGCACCUUUUGUGGUACAACAUCAGUCCAGUUUUACCGCUGAGCUUUCACCAAAUCAGGAACAAGGAGUGAGACGGAUCUUCGCUGCAGAGGAGCAGUGCCCACCGCGCCUCCCCGCUGCACCUCCGCCUCGUUGGCCGCGGAAGGGACGCAGCUGCAACAGGCAGAGCUGCGACAGGCGGGGCGGGCUUCCCG